rnacentral:rRNA from 1 species
UACGUAGGCAGCGAGCGUUGUUCGGAGUUACUGGGCGUAAAGGGUGUGUAGGCGGUUGUUUAAGUUUGGUGUGAAAUCUCCCGGCUCAACUGGGAGGGUGCGCCGAAUACUGAAUGACUUCGAGUGCGGGAGAGGAGAGUGGAAUUCCUGGUGUAGCGGUGAAAUGCGCAGAUAUCGGGAAGAACACCCGUGGCGAAGGCGGCUCUCUGGGACGGUACUGACGCUGAGACGCGAAAGCGUGGGGAGCGAACAGG